AUUGAACGCUGGCGGCAGGCCUAACACAUGCAAGUCGAACGAGUGGCGGACGGGUGAGUAAUGCUUUGGAAACUGCCUGAUGGAGGGGGAUAACUACGGGAAACGGUAGCUAAUACCGCGUCCCCUCAGCUGUGCCCAGGUGGGAUUAGGUGGUUUGUUGGGUAACGCCUCACAAAGGCGACGAUCCCUAGCUGGUCUGAGAGGAUGACCAGCCACACUGGGACUGAGACACGGUCCAGACGCCUACGGGAGGCAGCAGUGGGGAAUAUUGCACAAUGGGGGAAAACCUGAGGCAGCCAUGCCGCGUGAAUGAAGAAGGCCUUCGGGUUGUAAAGUACUUUCGGCGGGGAGGCGUUACCCGCAGAAGAAGCACCGGCUAACUCCGGGCCAGCAGCCGCGGUAAUAC
rnacentral:rRNA from 1 species